rfam:Gossypium raimondii Chr05_contig_1362, whole genome shotgun sequence.
GUUGAUGGGAAUGUUGUUUGGCUCGAGGUCAUAUAGGUUGAUCUUUUAUAUAUAAUUUCCAUGAAAUUUUCUUGGAUUUAUUUAAAUUUUCCGGGAAAGUUUCUGGAUAUGUGUAUAUAUAUAGCCUUAUAUGAUCUCGGACCAGGCUUCAUUCCCGUCAGC